GCGGCUUCAGAGACACGACUGAGCGUCCGCGCUGCGCACGUGCUGCCACCGUGUGGCGCCCGGGCCCCGGGGCGUGGUGGCGGCGGCCGGGCGCCGUCGGGGGGCCGCCCCUGGGCGCUGGCCCCGCAGCCUUCAGCUCUGCAGCCUCUCUGGGGCCCUAAAACGCGCGGUGCCCAGCAAGCGGGUCGUCCUGUGGCGCAAUGACGGGCGGCAGCGCUUGUACACGGUGCGCAAAGUGGCCACCCUAGGCCCCUCGGGGACCCACGCCAUCCGGGGGUGGGCAGCCCAGGCGGGGCCGGUCACGCCGCGGGACCCACGCACGAUACUGGGAGCAGCGGCUGUGACACCUGGGAGACAUAAAGAUCCUGGAGCAGGGGGAGACAGCAGGCGAGGCGGAUUGGUGACCAUGGGAGGAUGGAUCGAGGGGCUUGGGAGACAGAGCGAAAACCCCACAUACAGGUCUUGCUCAAGCCGUUUAGGAAGCCGGGCACACCUGAGCCAAUUCCACAGCGCCCAGGAUCUCCAGACCAGCGACCGCCUGUCAUGGGUGUGCAGAGCCACGUCAUCGGAGGCAAGGAUCUGGAAAGAGGCAGCAGGAAGUCUUUGGGGGGGGGAUAGCACCUCCAAGGGCACAGGCCCCAUGCAGGGCCUGGCAAAGAAACUCAGAGCAGCCUUCCUCCCUCAGGGCCGGGACCCUGAGCUGGAACGCAAGCAAAGCGUGUUUCGCAGCAGAAUGACCCAAGCAGGACGCAUCUUCCUUGGGGGCCUUGUGUCCAGGGACUGAAAGCCACUGUGGG
rnacentral:lncRNA from 1 species